rnacentral:rRNA from 1 species
AUGGUUCAUAGCACUUUGAUGAUGCUUGUUGCGUGGGAAAUUUGGAACGAACGCAACGCGACGGUUUUCCGCAACACCGCCGCCCCUACUACCGUUGUCAUUGCCAAGAUUAAAGAUGAGGCCUCUAUUUGGGCUCGUGUGGGUGCGAAGUAUUUGUGUAAUAUUAUGCCGCGAGAGUGA